AUGCUCAUGGGUUUGGACACCGUUGCCAAUGGGGACAGGACGGUCGAAUCACACAAGCCAAUGCUCCAACCUGCAUAUCCCAGCACCAACAUAUUGGGUUGUGGCGGCGACGAUGAAAAGGAUGAGAUGGGCAUGCGCAAAUCAGACGCGUAUUGGACUGUGAACUCGGACAAGUUGAUGCUCAAACCUGCAGACACAAUUGGCAGAUGCUCUGUCCAAGGCUGUCCUGAUCAUGACGAGAUGGACACACUAUUGGCUAAGGAGAUGGCUAGCGAGGCGGAGAGAUUCGCUUCAUAUGUUCGCAGCUGGGAAUUUGCCUGGGGCAGAACGUGCGGCUUCUUCAGAGACAUGACGGCGCUGAGUUCCAUGCAGUUUACGCACUACACGCCGGGACAAAAACUCAACAGCGGUCCUGCGUCCGCCACUCAAACCUUGCAGAUCUUCUCCAUCAAGCUCACAGAAAUAGCUGUCGGCCUUAAGUGGCCAUUGUCUGUGUAUGGCUUGGUUGCUGUCCGAGACGUCGCGGAUCACAACCGCAACCUUCUCUUCUCUCGCAAUAGGAGCCAGGCCCAAGAACUGAAAGAAGAUGAUAGGAUUUUGCGGUUGAUCGGCCCAUCACGCGCAAUUGUGUUUACGGAUAGGGUUGACUUUGAAAUCCAACUGAAAGUAAAAGGUACAGGUACAAGUAAGUCUCAAGAUAAAGCAUUGAUCAGCUAUGCGGACUGUUACGACGGAGGAUACGGAUCCUGUGUAUCAACAUUUUCUGUCAGUAACUGUUUCUGCACACUGGAGUUUUGUGUGCAGACAGUCACGCGAACCUUUCAGGCCACUAUCUUGGAUGUCCAGGUUGUCAAAGAUGAUGGUUCAUGGCCUUUUGAAUACGGUGGUCGAUUUUCCUGCUCUCCACUAUCAGGGAAGUUCGUGUUCACUGAUAGUGGAGUCACUCACGCUAUCAAUCACUCAUCUAGCCAAAUUGUGCUGCUUGAUUCAAAAGAUGGAGCAUGGCUGAAACAACCUUGUGGUGGUUACCUACAUAUGUGGAGGCAAGUUGUUUCAGUAGAAAUUGAAGGGCGGUUAGAUGUUUUCAUACAAGCCUACUCCAAAUCUGGCGAUAUCGCUUCACAUGGCGAGGUCCGUUUCAUACCCAAAUCUUGCGGCAUGAGCCAUGGUAAAUGUGCUCUUGGUGGCUCCGAGGUAUCAAUUACUGUUGCUUGGUCCCUUGUUGCUACGGACAAGGGGACGAUUGCAACACAGGGAAAUUUGUUCGAAUGUUGA
rnacentral:rRNA from 1 species